CCGCCCCCCAUCCCGCAGGGGACGUGGCCGGGGGCUGCAAAUUGCUCCGGAACCGCUUCGAGAGCCGGGACCGGGAAUGGGCGUCCUACACCUGUGUGCUGGGCUUCCACGUCUUCGGGGUGUGGCCCGACGGCUCCGACGGCACCGACAUCAACUCCCUGUGCCGCUCCCACGGCGAGAGGGUCGUGGCCGUGGCCGACGACUUCUGCAAAGUUCACCUGUUCCAGUACCCCUGUGCCCGCCCCAAGGCUCCCAGUCACGUGUACGGGGGCCACGGCAGCCACGUGACCAACGUGCGGUUCACCCACGACGACGGGCACCUCGUGUCCCUGGGGGGCAAAGACACCAGCGUGUUCCAGUGGCGGGUGCUGGGGGGCGACCCCGACCCGCGCUGAGCCCCCCCGGCCGCCCCUUCAUCCUCCUCAUCCUCCUGCCCUUCCUCGCUGCUUCCUCUUCCCCUUCCCCUGCCCGGGACCAAAGGGGGGGGGGCGUUUUCCGCCCCCCCCCCCGAAUUCGCUGCACUGUGAGAGGCGCCAAUAAAGCCUUUUUGGGGUC